AAAUUACCAAAUUUAUUGAAACAUAGAACUCUGCAUCUCCUUCGCGCUCUCUCUCUCUCUCUCUCUCUCUCUCUCUCUCACACACACACACACACACACAUACACACACGAACUCCACAUAUUACUUAUAGAAAAUCCAUAAGUAACCGUUGGGCGCUUGCAAUCACUAAAUCUCUCUCUCAUUCCCUGCAGCUUCUCUGAAUCGCACUUUCAGCUUCUCGUUGUUCAGAAGUUUUCCGGAGAGUUGUUGUUGGUAAUUGAUGUUGUUAUUUUGAAUCUACAGCAUUGAUUUUAUCAGUAUUUGAGAUAUCUGUUAAUUACUUGAAAACAUGAAAAUUACUAGAUGCAUUUUGAAGUGAUUGAUGUGUGAAUUAUAGUCAAAUUGAAGUUGUAAUUAACGUAGUCAUAGAAACAUCAAUGCCGAUUUGUAGUGGAAUCCGCAAUCAAUAGCCGAUUUUUACGUGCACUAAACAUGUUUGUAGGUAUGUCCUUAUAACAAAUUCAUGAUUGCUUUAUACCUUGAUAUUCCUAAACUACCAGGUUUGUAAACUUGCGAAUUAAACUGUAAAGUAAUUGUAUGUCAAAAGCUAAAUAUGUUAUUGGCAGAUCUAUUGACAUGUCGAACUCAACGCAUUUGGCUCGAAUAUGAAAUUAAAUGGAGUGUAUAUUUCAGAGUCCACUCUCUUGACUCUAAUUUCAUUAUUCUGAAUUUGAAUUUGCUGCUGCACAUGUUUAUGCUUAUCUCAUAACUAAUGCUUAUGUGCAGGUUGAAAGUUGCUCUGCAUUCUCUUCUAAUGACAUUUUGGUAAUUCCGAGUUGCA
rnacentral:lncRNA from 1 species